ensembl:lncRNA
UUUACAACCCAUUCUCACUCCAAAGGCGUCAAAAACCGAAGCAUGGUCAAGCGCCCCUAGCGUCACUUUUAUGACGCCAAAUGUGCCUCUCGGCGUCGACUAUCGAAGCACUACGACCUUCAUUGCUUUCAGUGGGAAACUUUUGGCGUCAGAAUUCGACACGAGGACAUGAGAUGUUUAUCGCUAUGAAAUCACGUUCAAGAAGUCUCAUUCAGCACACAUCGCGCGAUACUUGCUAUCAGUUCCACGGUUUGGCUGAAAAGACGUAAAGGCAGUCAGCCCAGUGGUGUUUCUGGAGAGGGAUUCCUUCAGAAAUGGAGAAGACAGAAAGCUGCGGAGGCAGAUAUUUGCAGCAGUAAGUCUGUGAUAGUUUGUCUCUUUUAUCAAAAAUUCCUGCUGUUAUAAUUUGUACAGCAUUUGUUGUUUCUUAAACUGUUGCACUGUCCAAAUACCCACACUUGCCAUCUUUUCACUUGACCACUUGAUUACUUAUUUGAAGUCUUUCCUGUAUUUGGCCUAGUGUUCGAGUGAGCAUGAUGACCACGAGUGUGUGUCGAACAAUUCAUGACCUGAUGACUGUGUUUCCCAAUCCUGAUCCUGGAGAACCCCAGCACUGCACGGUUUUGGUGUCUCUCUUAUCUGCCUUGGAGUCUUCACUGAUGAGCUGAUGAGUUGAAUCAGGUGUGUUUGAUCAGGGAGACAUCUCAAAUGUGCAGUGUUGGGGUUCUCCAGGACCAGGAUUGGGAGCCACUGCCUUAUGGGACACUUAUGUGUUAAAAGAGAUUUUUAAUAUCUAAUUAUCAAUAUUUCACAUACUGUACAUUGGACAGCUUUCCAUGACCUCUUGUAAGAUCUCGGCAAAAAGUCUGACGAUUUAUUCCAAAACAUGAUGCAUGAUGGGAUACACUAAGCUUUGUAUAGCGCUCUGAAGCAGUAUUGGAGAGGUUUAGUGUGUGUUAAGGACGCUGUGCUUUGGCAUUAUUAAGACCGGGGACAGUCUUGUGCACACACUGUCACGUACACACACUCUCAAGUGGCCAAGACUGCAAGUGUGGGUAUCUGGACAGGGUCAAAGUCUUAAAAAUGAUCCCUAAACACAUCACAGUCUUAAUAAUCCAGUUUAACACUUGUAUGAUAUUGUACAAGCCCAAGGACUGUCUCAUCUGACACUAUCAAAAGAUUCAUAUGACUAUAGCUUGUUAUUAAUUACUUGCUUUCAAUAAUGGAUUCAUUUAACAUUUAAUUAUACAGCAUCUUUACAGAGGUGUAAUGUACAGGCUGCACGUAAUUAAUAAUAUGUCCUUCCUUCUGUCUUACAGGAUUUUUUCCAGAUAAUGCUGUUCUUCUUUUUCAGGUCUAAAAUAUCGAGCUCAACAGCUAUUUUAAGAGCCAACCCUCACAAACCUUCCUAAAACCUAAAAGAGCUAUUACUGAGUCUCAGCGAAUCUUGCCAUGAUCAGCUCUUCCCAGGUACAUUUGUUUACUCCAAAAAUGCUCUGGUCUGAAUCUUACUUUAAAUUAACUUAAUUAUGUUUAAUGAGCAAUAUUAAUUGCACACAGAGUAAGUAGAGAUUAUCUUGUUUCACAGAAGAGAAGGAAGACCAAGGAUA